rnacentral:tRNA from 1 species
GCGGUCGUGGUGUAAUGGUUAGCACAGCAGUUUGUGGUACUGCUAGCGGCGGUUCAAUUCCGCUCGAUCGCCCA